rnacentral:rRNA from 1 species
UGAGUAACACGUGGGUGAUCUGCCCUGCACUUCGGGAUAAGCCUGGGAAACUGGGUCUAAUACCGGAUAUGACCUCCUAUCGCAUGGUGGGUGGUGGAAAGAUUAUCGGUGCAGGAUGGGCCCGCGGCCUAUCAGCUUGUUGGUGGGGUAAUGGCCUACCAAGGCGACGACGGGUAGCCGACCUGAGAGGGUGACCGGCCACACUGGGACUGAGACACGGCCCAGACUCCUACGGGAGGCAGCAGUGGGGAAUAUUGCACAAUGGGCGAAAGCCUGAUGCAGCGACGCCGCGUGAGGGAUGACGGCCUUCGGGUUGUAAACCUCUUUCAGCAGGGACGAAGCGCAAGUGACGGUACCUGCAGAAGAAGCACCGGCUAACUACGUGCCAGCAGCCGCGGUAAUACGUAGGGUGCAAGCGUUGUCCGGAAUUACUGGGCGUAAAGAGUUCGUAGGCGGUUUGUCGCGUCGUUUGUGAAAACCAGCAGCUCAACUGCUGGCUUGCAGGCGAUACGGGCAGACUUGAGUACUGCAGGGGAGACUGGAAUUCCUGGUGUAGCGGUGAAAUGCGCAGAUAUCAGGAGGAACACCGGUGGCGAAGGCGGGUCUCUGGGCAGUAACUGACGCUGAGGAACGAAAGCGUGGGUAGCGAACAGGAUUAGAUACCCUGGUAGUCCACGCCGUAAACGGUGGGCGCUAGGUGUGGGUUCCUUCCACGGAAUCCGUGCCGUAGCUAACGCAU